rnacentral:rRNA from 1 species
CUACGGGGCGCAGCAGUGAGGAAUAUUGGACAAUGGUCGAAAGACUGAUCCAGCCAUGCCGCGUGCAGGAUGACUGCCCUAUGGGUUGUAAACUGCUUUUAUACGGGAAGAAAAACACCUACGUGUAGGUGACUGACGGUACCGUAAGAAUAAGGACCGGCUAACUCCGUGCCAGCAGCCGCGGUAAUACGAAGGGUCCAAGCGUUAUCCGGAAUCAUUGGGUUUAAAGGGUCCGUAGGCGGGCUAUUAAGUCAGAGGUGAAAGUUUGCAGCUCAACUGUAAAAUUGCCUUUGAUGCUGAUAGUCUUGAAUUGUAGUGAAGUGGUUAGAAUAUGUGGUGUAGCGGUGAAAUGCAUAGAUAUCACAUAGAAUACCGAUUGCGAAGGCAGAUCACUAACUAUAUAUUGACGCUGAGGGACGAAAGCGUGGGGAGCGAACGGGAUUAGAUACCCCUGUAGUC